AUGGGGAGCAGCAGAAAGGCCAAGGUCCUCGCCGUCGCGGUGGCCGUCACGGUGCUGGUGGCGGCCGAGGUGGCCCUCUACCUCUGCCUGCGCCCACUCUCCAGGCCCUUCUACCUCUCCACGGCCGCCGUCCUGGCCGCGACCGUCCUCACGCUGCUGCUGCUGCUCGACUGCACGGCGGGGCGGGCGGAGCGCAUGGCGGCGCGGCGGGCGCUGGACGACGGCGAGGAGCUGCGCGCCGAGUACAGCUACUUCCGCAAGGUCGCCGGGCUGCCGCGCAAGUUCUCGCUGCACGCGCUGGCGGCGGCCACGGACGACUUCCGGUGCGUGGCCGGGCGGGGCGCCUCGGGCACGGUCUUCCGCGGCGUCCUCGACGACGGCGAGUUCCGGGCGGAGGUGGCGGCCAUCGCCGGCGCGCAGCACGUCAACCUGGCCCGCCUCCUCGGCUUCUGCCUCGGCUCCCCGCGCUUCCUCGUCUACGAGUACAUGGACCACGGCUCCCUCGACCGCUGGAUCUUCCCCGCCCCCGCCCCCGGCGGCGGCGCCGAUGAGGACCGCCCGCGCGGCUGCCUGCCGUGGCCGCGCCGCCACCAGGUCGCCGUCGACGUGGCCAAGGCGCUCGCCUACCUGCACCACGACUGCCGCUCCAAGGUGCUGCACCUGGACGUCAAGCCGGAGAACAUCCUCCUCGACGACGGCUUCCGGGGCGUCCUCUCCGACUUCGGCCUCUCCAAGCUCGCCGGCAAGGACCAGAGCCGGGUGGUCACGGCGGUGCGCGGCACCGCGGGCUACCUGGCGCCCGAGUGGCUCCUCGGCGCCGGCGUCACCGAGAAGUCCGACGUCUACAGCUACGGCAUGGUGCUGCUGGAGCUGGUCGCCGGCCGCCGCUGCGUGCGGCCCGAGGAGGACGGCGGGUGGUCGUACCUGCCCAAGAUCGCCGCCGAGAUGACGCAGGCGGGGCGCGUGAUGGAGGUCGUGGACCGGAGGCUCGUCGGGGAGGCGGAGCAGGCGGCGGUGCGGCGCGCGGUGCACGUGGCGCUGUGGUGCGCGCAGGAGAAGGCCUGGGCGCGGCCGAGCAUGGCGCGCGUGCUGGAGAUGCUGGAGGGGAGGCUCGCCGGGGACGUGGACGCGCCGCCGCCGUCGGACACGAUCAUGGAGGACCUGCUGGCGCUCGGCCACAAGCGCGCGCGGCGGCGGGCCGUUCCGGCUGCCGUCGGCGGGCCCGGCCGGGAGGGCCGCCUCGUCGGCGUCGGUGCUGAGCAAGUGCGACUCGUUCGCCAUGUCCUACCUGUCAGGGAGAUAGCGCUGUCGAGUCACCUCUUAGCCUUAACUGCGUCCAUUUAUGGGUGA
rnacentral:rRNA from 1 species